rnacentral:misc_RNA from 1 species
GAAAUGCGAUAAUUAAUGUGAAUUGCAGAAUUCAGUGAAUCAUCGAGUCUUUGAACGCACAUUGCGCCCCCUGGUAUUCCGGGGGGCAUGCCUGUCCGAGCGUCAUUGCUGCCCUCAAGCACGGCUUGUGUGUUGGGCUUCCGUCCCUGGCAACGGGGACGGGCCCAAAAGGCAGUGGCGGCACCAUGUCCGGUCCUCGAGCGUAUGGGGCUUUGUCACCCGCUCCCGUAGGUCCAGCUGGCAGCUAGCCUCGCAACCAAUCUUUUUAACCAGGUUGACCUCGGAUCAGGUAGGGAUACCCGCUGAACUUAAGC